rnacentral:sRNA from 1 species
UGGGCAAUCUAUAUGUAUUUAUGUACACACACAGUCAAGGAAGUAGCUUUACUCUGAAUUUUAAUGAAACGUACAAUUGUGCUGGAGAAGAGAAACGAGUUGGCACACGCACAGUGUUUGUUGGCAAUCAUCCAGUUUCGGAAACAGAAGCUUACAUUGCACAAAGAUUUUGUGAUAAUAGAAUAGUCUCAUCUAAGUAUACACUUUGGAAUUUUCUCCCAAAGAAUCUGUUUGAACAGUUUAGAAGAAUUGCAAAUUUUUAUUUUCUCAUAAUUUUCCUUGUACAGGUCACAGUAGACACACCAACUAGCCCAGUUACCAGUGGACUUCCACUUUUCUUUGUUAUAACUGUUACAGCCAUCAAGCAGGGAUAUGAGGAUUGGCUGAGACACAGAGCUGACAAUGAAGUCAACAAAAGCACUGUUUACAUUAUUGAAAAUGCAAAGCGAGUGAGAAAAGAAAGUGAAAAAAUCAAGGUUGGUGAUGUAGUAGAAGUACAGGCAGAUGAAACCUUUCCCUGUGAUCUUAUUCUUCUAUCAUCUUGCACCACUGAUGGAACCUGUUAUGUCACUACAGCCAGUCUUGAUGGGGAAUCCAAUUGCAAGACACAUUAUGCAGUACGUGAUACCAUUGCACUGUGUAC